AUGCCCAGAGGCUGCGGGGUGCGGCGCUGUCCGCUCUCCCGGUUUUCCCCGCCGGAGGCUGAGCUAGAGGCCGGCUGGGAGAGCUCGGAAAGGCCGGAGGGCGGCGGGCGGGGACUAGGGGCGUUCGGCUGGCCGACCGAUCCGCGCCCCGGAGAGGGUGCUGAAUAGGGUGCUGUAUGCGUGGACGCACCCCAAGGCCUCUUCGCUAGGUUCUUUACCCGGACGAAGCCUCCUGGAGGGCCGCGCGGGCCCGAUGCCGCCCAGUCCACGCGGAAGUCCCCAAGUGACCCUGGAAAGGGCCUCCUGUCACCUCCGCAAGCAAACACACAAGUCGUUUGGGAGCUCAAGUGACCGAUGCCCAGCGGCCAAGCCCAUGGUUUCUUUCGCACCUUCCCCUUGCCGCUUCCUCUCCCUUCACCGCGCCCUGGGUUCCACUUCCAAGUUCAGGCAGUGGGUGGAACCUGUUGCUUUUGCUCACGUUCCCUUCCCCUUCCCAGCGGCACUGAGGAUGACCUCAGCGAGGUGAAAUUGAAUCAAAGAAAAUGGGAAUUUUCCAGAACCACACACGGGCUACCUGUGCUUGGCAACCGUUCUCUUUAGGAAGAGGGUUGAUGUGAAAAUAUUUGCUUGGAAAAUGUGGAUGGGCUGCAGAAUACCUUUUAAGGACUAAGAAUUUGCUCUGAACAGCCUUACCCUGUAAGAAGUGAAUUAGGAAAUGCCCUCCUCUGCAGUGAAGAUAGAAGAAUGCUUAACUCUACAAUGGAAAGGAGAAAACCAGCUUCCCCUGACUUCCAGAAUCAGGGCUAUAACUAAUUUAUACCAGCAGGGCUAGUCUGGACCAAACCCCCACCGUUGCUUGGCACCUAAGGAAUGGGGGAACAGAGGCAUGCUUGGGAUUCUUUGGUAGGGAGUGGCUGGCACCCUGGCCUUGGAGGCUCUGGUGGGGACUUGGUGCAGAGACCCUUUGUCUGGGUGACUUCCUCUCCUUAGGUAAGUGCCUGGCCAGGAAAUAUAAGCAAAUCUUUUAACUUGUCUGGAAGCAAGGAUCCUGUGAGUAACAGGGAGAGAGGCCUUUGGUCUGGCCAGCUCUUCAGUCAAGGGGAACUGGUUAUGACUUAAAAUACAAUUCACACUAACAUCUGCAAACAGCCCGCUUCGUGCCCAAAUAUGGUUUGCUGUGAAGUUAUAGUGGAGUGCUGGCUGCCACUGACUGGGGGGUGUGGAGGAAGGAGGUCCUGUAUUCAUUCUGGGAUGUGCAUGGGUGCCUGGGAAAAGAUCACCUUGUAAUGUGACAAAGCUGAGAUCAAAAAACCAAAACCCUACCUAGCAGGCUGGAGGACAGCUCAGGGGGAGAAGCCCUAUCUGUAACAGCCAGCAUCUGGGUGCUGACUGUAUCCCAGCAUGCUGGGGUUGUGGGUGGACACAUUCAGGUCCCGGAUAGUGAGAGCCGGGCUACCCCAAACUGCAAGCCCUGGUUCAGAGAGAGAGACCCUGUCUCAAACAACAAACAAAUAGAAAAAUAAAUAGGAAGUAGGUGGAGGAAGUCAUGCUGAUGUCAGCCUCUGGCCUCACACGUUCCUACACAGGCAAGUUCACCUGCGUGCACAUGUGUGCACACAUCAUACAGUACACACAUACACAGGCUACCUGCUCUGUGGCAGACGCAAGUGGACAGAUACUGAUCGGUGGGGGUGACGUGAGCAUUACAGUGACAGUCCAGCUUUUCAACAGUAAGGCCUCUGCAGCUGCCCACCACACAGCUGGAACACUUACUCCCAGCUGCUCAAAUGACUGUGACCAGGAAAUGUAAAAUAAAACCUGAAAGAAACAUUUGGCAAGGUAAGUGCAUUGCCAAAAACGCUUGGUAUUUCAAAGCCAGCUAUAAACAUCUUGGAAUUACUUUCACAUGGUUUUCUGACCAGAUAAUCUGGAUCAGAUGGAAGUACCCAGUUUCCUUUCUCUGCUCUUCAUGCUUGGCCAGCCAGAGACCAUCCUUCUCCAGUCUGCCCCCUCACCCCCGCCGAGAACCCGCCCACUUGGGAAAGGAAGGCCUGGCAGCUUCAAGGCUGCAAUAGUUAGCAGCAAGUUCGCAGGAUGGAGAGAUGGCUUGUGGGGUGAUUGGAAAGUCUUGUUUUCCUCUUUUGGGAGGCUUUCUUAGACAUCAGAGAUGACCAGAACCCUCCCCACCAGUCCAGGGUUGUCAACUUUGCCUAGAAGAAGAGUCAAUCUCUUUGGAACAUCCACUGCCCUUGCACCCCCCCCCCCGCCCCACUAUGCAGCCAAGAGUAGCCUUCCUGAGAGUGUGGAUCUCUCCCUGACUAUCAAAACUGCAUGAUUUCUGACUUUUUUGGAUAAUUUUUAUUUAUCCUGAGUCUCGGUCACCAUGUCACUUCCCCCUGGAUGGUUCGACUCUUCCUGUUCAGCGGGUCAUUCACUGCAGUGUGAUGCACACUGCCAUUGUCGCUGUUUAAUCGCGCAGUUUCUCAAAGUGCCUCGUAGCAAGAAUUACAUUUUACGUGAAAACCCGGGCCACACAUCCGUGAAGGUUUCAUGAAACGCUUCGGAAAGUCCCAUUCUGGGUGCUAGAGAUGCUGUUCCCUGGGUGAAAGGCUGCUCUGGCAUGCCAGAGGCCUGAGUUCCUCCCAGAAACCAUCUGAAACGGGGUGGUGGUGAGAGAGGCUCUGGCCCUCCAGCGGUGGGAGCUUGGCCUCCUCUAAAUUCAGCAAUCGUCAGCAAAUUAGGAGAUCAAGUUGUAAACAGAGGAGUAUAGGGGUGGAGAGAUGGCUCAGUGGUUAAGAGUAUUUGCUGCUCUUGCAGAGACCAUGGGUUCCAUUUCCAGCAUCCACAUGGUAGCUCACAAUCUCUUUAACUCCAGACACCCAUUUCAGGCCUCCAAGCCACACAUACAUACUGGCAAAACACUCAAAUGAAUGAAUGAAUGAAUAAAUAAAUAAAUAAUGUUA